GGUGGCUCAGUGGUAGAGUGCUUGCCUUUCGUGCAUGAGCCCCUGAGUUCGAUUCCUCAGCACCA
rnacentral:tRNA from 1 species